UGUAUGGAACAUUUGCUUAGUCAUACAGUGAGUUCGUGACGUCUGGUUGUGUACAUGGAGUCCUGGUAGAUCACCUUAUUUUGAAGGUAUGAUGGUUUUAUCAAGCAGGAUAUACACUUAAGUGGUUUGUGGAUUGACAGACAUUGUCUUAGUGGAUUACUUGUGUGCUGUGUUGGUUGAUAUGGUGAAGACAAUGAAGAACAAGGCAGCCAUUCGACAUGCAGCCAUUCGACGUGUAUCAGAUGACCAAAGCAGAUCCGUUAGCAAGGGUAGAGGAGGAACCAUCGACCCAGAGGAACGGUUUACGAAGCUAGAGAAGAUUGGCAAAGGUUCAUUUGGUGAAGUGUUCAAAGGAAUUGACAAUGAGACUAAUCAGGUUGUGGCCAUCAAAAUAAUUGACUUGGAAGAAGCAGAAGAUGAAAUUGAGGACAUUCAGCAGGAGAUUAUGGUGCUGUCCCAGUGCGACAGCCUGUUUGUUACCAAAUACUAUGGCUCCUAUCUCAAGGGCUCAAAGUUGUGGAUCCUUAUGGAAUACUUGGGCGGUGGAUCUGCCUUGGACCUGAUGAAGGCUGGACCUUUCACAGAAAAUGACAUAGCAAUCAUCAUUAGGGAAAUUCUUAAAGGAUUAGAUUACCUUCACUCAGAGAGGAAAUUACAUAGAGAUAUUAAAGCUGCUAAUGUGUUGUUAUCGGAAAACGGAGAUGUGAAGCUUGCAGACUUCGGUGUAGCGGGUCAGUUAACAAAUACAACCAAUAAACGGCAAACGUUUGUGGGCACGCCAUUCUGGAUGGCACCAGAAGUCAUUAAACAGUCCGCCUAUGAUACGAAGGCUGACAUAUGGAGUUUAGGCAUUACAGCAAUCGAGUUGGCCAAGGGGGAACCCCCCAACUCAGACCUCCAUCCUAUGAGGGUCCUCUUCCUCAUCCCCAAGAACAAUCCGCCUCAGUUAGUGGGCAACUAUAGUAGACAAUUUAAAGAAUUUGUGGAGCUUUGUCUGAACAAAGAUCCAAACAAUAGACCGUCCGCGAAGGAGUUGUUGCGGCAUCAGUACAUGAGAAGAGCCAGGAAGACGGGCUACCUGGUGGAGUUGAUAGACCGCCACAAGCGAUGGAAGGCAGAACGGGCCAAUGAAAGCGACAGCGACGAUGACAGUGAUGAUUCUGAUAAUGGCAGCGAUGAAGAAGUCAUGAAGGAGGGAUGGAUCAUGACUGUGAAGGAAGCUGACAGGACAUUGAUGAUGAAUGGCUUGAAUGAACAAAUGGCUCGUGUAAAUAACCCAGUGCCUAAACGCCAGGCACCCCCUGUGCCACCCCCACAGAGUGACAAUUCACUUCUCAUUGAGAACAAUCGUGGUCGGGGGUUUAAGCAAGAUAUGCCUCCUCCUCCAUACCCCAAACCUUAUGGUAUGGGCGUAGGGCAAAAACCGCACUCUGCCCAUAACCUGUAUCCAGGCCCAGUACAACAUGUCAGUGGUGGUCAAGUUAAUCAUGGUCGAAGUGAGUCUGCCCCUGUUUUGACAGAGUCCCAAAAUGAUUUCUCCCAAGGCUCUAAACAUCUCCGUAGUCGGUCGGACAUUGCUCAGCCCGUCACACCACCCAAAUAUAAUACACCCCCUCAACAGGAACGUUACGCCAUGAGGCCUAAAUCUCAAUACGAUAUGCCAAACAAUAGCCAUUCCAAUCCCCGGCCUACCCCGCCACCUCAGUAUGGCCGUCCACCACAUGGGUAUUCCAAUCAAGCCAAGCAGCAUGCACCUCAGCCGCCCAGACAGAAGGAGAAUGACAUCCAGCCUUCACCGUCGGCUACUCUCACCUGUGCGAUACACCCCACACUCUCUCAGCUGAAAGACGACUAUCGCGAUGAGUACAGGCGCCUGGGACGUCCCGUCCAGAAAACGGAGGCCAUUGAUGAGUUGCAGAAUGCAUUUGAUCUGGCUGAGAAGUCCUGUCCCGGGCUGGCUGAUGACCUCAUCUCUGGGAUACUCAAUCGUUUAGGGACACCAUCUUUGAGUGAAAUGGACAUUAGACGGGCAGUGGACAAAGUCAAAAGACCUUCCUAGGACCAACUUGAGUGAGCGACUGUAACAACUCCUACUGCACUGUUGUUACACUGUAUAUAGACAAUUCCAAGAUAACUACUACGCCAAUUACUGACUUGAUGCCGAUGUGGACUGACGGAGCUCAUGAACGUUACAUGAACAGUCUGCAUCUACCGACACCAUUCCUAAACUUAGUAGCUGCAGAUGUCAUCGUCGCUCCGGGAUAACCAGAGAUCCUGAAACAGGUUCCUGGAUUUUGUUCUGCAUUGCCAGCGGUUUCAUCUUCAUCAGCUUGUUGGUGGUGAGGAGUUGUAUAGGAGGAGUUAUGUCCCCUGUAUAGGAAGAGUUAUGUCCCCUGUGUAGGAAGCGAUGUCCCCUACAACAGCAGAAAGAGCAAUACCAUGGAAACAGUUGAGUUCAAAGUUGGAUAGUGCUCGUUUUUGUGUUUCAUACAGGUUUUGUUGGAGCAGUACUCCUUGAACUGUUGCUUGGGAAGAAAAGGUGUCUAUGAAGGUUUUCUCUCAAAUAUUCACAAGAUGUAUUUGUGCUUGAUCAUGUGGAAUUGUGCCAUGAUGUGAGCGUUGACCAAACAUGAGCUUGAGAUCUUCCAAUGUAGAUUAUUUCAUUGAUUCCAUUUGUUGUUGCACUUUAUGAGAAGCGGGAUGGAUCAGACGCUGAUGCCAUGCUUUCGAGAUGGUUAUUGUCACCUGGUGGAUCAGACGCUGAUGCCGUGCUUAUGAGAUCGUUAUUGUCACCUGGUGGAUCAGACGCUGAUGCCGUGCUUACGAGAUCAUCAUUCUGACCUGAUGGAUCAGACUCUGAUGUCAUGCUUACGAGAUCGUUAUUGCCACCUGUUUGAUCAGACGCUGAUGCCGUGCUUACAAGAUCUUCAUUGUCACCUGGUGGAUCAGACGCUGAUGCCAUGCUUACGAGAUCAUCAUUGUCACCUGGUGGAUCAGACGCUGAUGCUGUGCUGACAGAUCGCCAUGUGACCUGACAGAUCAGAUCGUCCUCGACAAUCACAGUUGAACACAAAGCCUACUACGGCUUGUAUUUGCAAAUGUUUGUGUUAGAUGUUCCUUUGUCAUGCAGGAGGAUGGAGACGUAAACGUUGAUCGCAGUGAACGAUUCAUCAACCUUCUGUAGGAACUAGGCGUACACGAGCCAGUGUGUGAUCACAUUCAGGUUCCUGUCAACGAGGGAAACAAUGCAGCCAAUUUAAUUACUAACACCACUUGUUCCAUUGGGGAAGAGUGUAUGUUGUAUUCCAUACUAACAUAUAGGUAUCCUCAAAGUAAACUCCAUUGUUAACCUGACUGCAAUCUAUUGUAUGCAACAGCAGUAUGUAUACUUCAUGCACAUGUGUAUUCCAAUGAAUCAGUGAUAUCGUAGUGUAGCCGAUCAUGUAAUGAUAUGUACCGGUAGUCCGUGAUGACCCAGAGUUAAGUGGAUGUAUGUAAGGGGGGUAACUCUCACACAUCUGUAUUGGCAGUGCAUUCCAGUAUUACCAUAUUGAGAUACCUCUUUCUCAGUCCGUCACUUAAAUCCACUGUGUAGAUUUGCCUCGCAUGUGUCAAGGUUUGGACAGUAAAAUUUCCUACCUGAAAUACUCGUUUCUAAGAUCCUGCGUUACGAAGUGACCCCACUGGCCAGCACUUCACGGUACUGUACUCCAGUAUUUAUAACGGAACAGCCUCCAUGGUGCAUGUUCAAAGUCAUAGGGAAGUGACUAUGAUAGGGGUAGAAAUUCCGGUAACAGAUUUUACAGGUGUCAUCUUUGCCGUGCUAUUGCUGUAUAUGUGAGACCUGCAGGUCUGAUGCAUCUGUGUCAUAGGAAUCAUUCUGUAUCUACUGGUUUAUUUAUGAAACGUAUUUAGCCACCUUGUGCCAAUAGCUGCAGCUAUUUCUUAGUAUAUGUCUGGGGGUUGGGAAAAUAUCUUCUUUCUUUACUGUUUCAACUGAUGGAUCAGGUGUCUGUUUGGCUAUUCACAUCGGUGGCAGCUGUCGCUAUGGUUACUCAGUUGGUAUCGGGUGGUAUCCAAGUGGCUUUGGGACCUCAACUCAACCAAUGUGACUGGUAACACAGCGCCAGUUGUCACUGUGGUUACAUUGGUGGUACUAUGGUUACACACAUUUUGGUUGAUUACACACAAUGGUGGAAGUUGUCACUAUGGUUACAUACAGUGGUGGAAGCUGUCACCAUGGUUGCACAAAUUGGUGGCUGCUGUCACUAUGGUUACACAGUGGUGGCUGCUGUCACUAUGGUUACACACAGUUGGUGGAAGUUGUCAAUAUGGUUACACACAGUGGUGGAAGCUGUCACCAUGGUUGCACAAAUUGGUGGCAGCUGUCACUAUGGAUACACACAGUGGUGGCUGCUGUCACUAUGGUUACACACAGUGGUGGCUGCUGUCACUGUGGUUACACACAGUGGUGGAAGUUGUCACUAUGGUUACACAAAUUGGUGGCUGCUGUCACUAUGGUUACACACAGUGGUGGAAGCUGUCACCAUGGUUGCACAAAUUGGUGGCUGCUGUCACUAUGGUUACACACAGUGGUGGAAGCUGUCACCAUGGCUACAUUUUUCGUAUGUUGUACAAGUGCAGGACACUCAGGCUUAUGGCUCUUCUUGUAUAUGGUUAUAUUUUGUUGGCAAUGUUCAAUUUUGAGUUUGAUUUACCAAGUUAAGUUCAAUCCACUGUUUAUUUAGAAAUGCAAGUUAUGAAACACUUUCAAAGUUGUGUGUGUACAGAACCUCUUAAAGCUUAAACAUAUGAAGCCAAGUACCAUACACUGUAUGUGAACAGAAUAUGACAUGUUGUUGCAAGUCUAGAAACUUGUGUGAACCAGUAAUGGAGACCUCAUCCAUACACCCUUUCUACUCGCUGAUAUGGAACAAAUUAGUAGCCUGUCUGACAUGAUACCAAGUAGGACUUCAGUGGACCUUUGUAUGGUUCUGUAGAAUGCCCACUGUCGGUGCCAGGGUGGUAUGUAUAGGUAGGGGGUGCCAGGGUGGUAUGUAUAGGUAGGGGGUGCCAGGGUGGUAUGUAUAGGUAGGGGGGGGGCCAGGGUGGUACGUAUAGGUAGGGGGGUGCCAGGGUGGUGUGGUAUAGGUAGGGGGGUGCCAGGGUGGUAUGUAUAGGUAGGGGGGUGCCAGGGUGGUGUGGUAUAGGUAGGGGGGUGCCAGGGUGGUAUGUAUAGGUAGGGGGGGCCAGUGUGGUAUGUAUAGGUAGGGGGGUGCCAGGGUGGUGUGGUAUAGGUAGGGGGGUGCCAGGGUGGUGUGUAUAGGUAGGGGGGUGCCAGGGUGGUAUGUAUAGGUAGGGGGGUGUCCUGGCCGGCGUGGUAUGUAUAGGUAGGGGGGUGCCAGGGUGGUAUGUAUAGGUAGGGGGGUGCCAGGGUGGUAUGUAUAGUUAGGGGGGGGCCAGGGUGGUGUGGUAUAGGUAGGGGGAGCCAGGGUGGUAUGUAUAGGUAGGGGGGUGCCGGGGUGGUAUGUAUAGGUAGGGGGGUGCCGGGGUGGUAUGUAUAGAUAGGGGGGGCUGGGGUGGUACGUAUAGGUAGGGGGGUGCCAGUGUGGUAUGUAUAGGUAGGGGGGUGCCAGUGUGGUAUGUAUAGGUAGGGGGGUGCCAGUGUGGUAUGUAUAGGUAGGGGGGUGCCAGUGUGGUAUGUAUAGGUAGGGGGGGCUGGGGUGGUGUGUAUAGGUAGGGGGGUGCCGGGGUGGUAUGUAUAGAUAGGGGGGGCUGGGGUGGUACGUAUAGGUAGGGGGGUGCCAGGGUGGUGUGGUAUAGGUAGGGGGGUGCCAGUGUGGUAUGUAUAGGUAGGGGGGUGCCAGUGUGGUAUGUAUAGGUAGGGGGGUGCCAGUGUGGUAUGUAUAGGUAGGGGGGUGCCAGUGUGGUAUGUAUAGGUAGGGGGGGGCUGGGGUGGUAUGUAUAGGUAGGGGGGUGCCAGGGUGGUAUGUAUAGGUAGGGGGGUGCCAGCAGGGGUGGUAUGAAACAGGGAUGAACUGCGGUGGUGUAGGCAAAGACCAAUGACAUUCUGUACUUUGACACAAAGAAAUGGAGAUGGCCACAUGAAGAUCCACUCAUGUAACAGUCCAGACUUAUGAAAUAUGCUGUCUUUACCUGAAUACAUACCACAAACAUAUGUUACCUAGGAAACAAAUUUGUAUUUCUUAAGUGAUGUAUUUUGUGCUGUUGUCAUAUGUAUUAGGGUCGGGAAGAUUCACAGUACAUCUUAUUUCACUAUGACAAUUUAAUCAGGUCGCUGUAUCGAUACGAGAUGAUACAAAGUCUUCAGUAUGGAACCAAAUUUUGACUGGGCACAGUAAAUUUCAGUUCAUCGUAGCAUUUUUCAGAGUUUGGCUUGUUUUCAUCUAUAAAAUAUAAACUCAGAGACAAUGUUCUUGGAUAAACUUUACGAUCUUGUGUAUCGUGAUACUUAUUGUAUAGUGACUUUGUGUAUCGUAUCGUAUCGUAUCGUGAUACUUAUUGUAUAGUGACUUUGUGUGUCGUAUCGUAUCAUAUCGUGACUUUGUUUCGCCCCGACUUUGUGUGUAUCCAAUGGUUACAGAGGGCAGGAAAGAUGUAUGGAUGAGGUAAAGAGGUGUGGUAAUGUGAAACAUUGAAACAUAUCAUAUGUGUCAGAUCUUAUUUAUGUAUAUACCAAACUAGAGAGAUAUAUAUUGUGUAGCUGUCACUCCAAGCUAUACUAUGUGAUGCACAGUGUGUAAACAUCUGUUGUGUUAAUAAUUGGAGCAAAUUAUGUCUGCCACAGUCCUGUGCUACACAUAUAUUUUAUUUUUGAUUUAAUAAUGUAUAUAUGGAGACAAUUCAUAAAUGUGUACAGUAUAUCUAACAAUGUAUGAUAGAAAUAAUUUUGUAUUGUGUGCAAAAUUCUACAUUUUUGGCUGUAUAUUUCUUUCUUGUUUUUAUAUGUGUUCAUUUUAAUCACUGAACCUGUUGUACUUUUCAUGUAGUGUCAGUAACCACUUAGUAUUGUUUCAAAUCCAUCCAUCUUAUGGAGGUGGUCUUGUGCACCGUCAGUGACAGGUGUAACGCUAGGUAGAGUUAUGUCCCUUAGAUGCAAGGAUCUGCUGCUUGGUUUGAAUUCCCGAUCUGCCCUGAUUAAGAUCCUUGGUUUGUUAGCAUCAUAGCCCUACUGGAUUUCAAUGAUGUGGUAAACAUGUAAGACCUGCGUCACUUUGGGCUUUCCUCCCACCUGCUGCAAAUGUAAGACUGGGUACCGCUCUAAGUGGUGGUAAGUUUUGACGGCAAUAGUAGAAUUGUCACUCCCAUGACAGGAAGAUGGGAUAGCCUAGUGGGGAGAGCGUUCACUUGAAGAAGGUUAUGGGUUCGAUCCCCACUUCAUUAAGCCCAUUCUCGAUAUCCAUCAUUCUGCUAAUGAUGUGUUUAGAGCAGCCAAAGACCAUUCUGAAUCUACCCCCCCACCCCCCAUAAUGCAGCUAUAGACAGAAUGGUUAGUGAGUCAUUGUUUGAAAUAUUGCUUUUAAAGAAGUAUUGAUUUUUUGAUGAAUGAAUUUGAAACGAUCUAUUUAUUGUUAGUGGAAACAAACCACCUAUCAGUCGAGGAAUUACAGUUAUAUGAACUUUUGCUGGGCAAAUUGUAAAUAGGAAUGUGUAUACUUUGUAGUAAGCAGAUGAUGUAGGCUGUACAUAGCUACUGACUGAGGGUUAUCAUGUUAACAUAGGAAAUAACAGUGGAUGACAUUUGAAAUAAGGCUUAGAAAAUAUUCUUGCUUCUCAGACCCUGCAUGUAUUACCUGCAUGAAAUCUGCUUUAAAAAAGCAUCCAAACCAAGGUAACACUCUUUUUUCACACCAAAAAAGAGGCCACCCCAGACUCCUCCUCUUAUUAGUAAUGGCUAGAGAACAAACUGUUUCUGUUUUCCAGCCAAAUGCCCCGACUGUAUGCUCCAUAUAUAAUGAUAGUCUGUAUAAGGGGAAUGUUAGUUUGGAUAGUAUCCUCACACACGGUCUCAUCCUUCUAACUAGAUCACCUGUCAAUACUUGACCGAUUUGUAUACACCGGUUCCUCCAUCACCCGUGAAUACAUAUGGCCGCUGUGCAGUGUAAUAGUGUCUGUUUUAGUCCUUGAAAUGAGGGUGUGUAUGACACCUAGAAGUCCGAUGACCCGUCCUGUGCGUGAUCUGUGUGUGGUCCCUACGUUGCCUGAUACUGAAGCAGUGUGUAGAGCAGGUGGACGCAAGGCUGUGACAUGCUCUGGUCUCCAUCUUCCUGGGACCAGGCCUUGAUGCUGUGGGUAAAAGUAGCAGCUACAUAUCGGACAGAUGUAUUCACACAUGGAGUAGAGCAGGUGGACGCAAGGCUGGGACAUGCUCUGGUCUCCAUCUUCCUGGGACCAGGCCUUGAUGCUGUGGGUAAAAGUAGCAGCUACAUAUCAGACAGAUGUAUUCACACAUGGAGUAGAGCAGGUGGACGCAAGGCUGGGACAUGCUCUGGUCUCCAUCUUCCUGGGACCAGGCCUUGAUGCUGUGGGUAAAAGUAGCAGCUACAUAUCGGACAGAUGUAUUCACACAUGGAGUAGAGCAGGUGGACGCAAGGCUGGGACAUGCUCUGGUCUCCAUCUUCCUGGGACCAGGCCUUGAUGCUGUGGGUAAAAGUAGCAGCUACAUAUCAGACAGAUGUAUUCACACAUGGAUUAGAGCAGGUGGACGCAAGGCUGGGACAUGCUCUGGUCUCCAUCUUCCUGGGACCAGGCCUUGAUGCUGUGGGUAAAAGUAGCAGCUACAUAUCGGACAGAUGUAUUCACACAUGGAGUAGAGCAGGUGGACGCAAGGCUGUGACAUGCUCUGGUCUCCAUCUUCCUGGGACCAGGCCUUGAUGCUGUGGGUAAAAGUAGCAGCUACAUAUCGGACAGAUGUAUUCACACAUGGAGUAGAGCAGGUGGACGCAAGGCUGUGACAUGCUCUGGUCUCCAUCUUCCUGGGACCAGGCCUUGAUGCUGUGGGUAAAAGUAGCAGCUACAUAUCAGACAGAUGUAUUCACACAUGGAGUAGAGCAGGUGGACGCAAGGCUGUGACAUGCUCUGGUCUCCAUCUUCCUGGGACCAGGCCUUGAUGCUGUGGGUAAAAGUAGCAGCUACAUAUCAGACAGAUGUAUUCACACAUGGAGUAGAGCAGGUGGACGCAAGGCUGUGACAUGCUCUGGUCUCCAUCUUCCUGGGACCAGGCCUUGAUGCUGUGGGUAAAAGUAGCAGCUACGUAUCAGACAGAUGUAUUCACACAUGGAGUAGAGCAGGUGGACGCAAGGCUGUGACAUGCUCUGGUCUCCAUCUUCCUGGGACCAGGCCUUGAUGCUGUGGGUAAAAGUAGCAGCUACAUAUCGGACAGAUGUAUUCACACAUGGAGUAGAGCAGGUGGACGCAAGGCUGUGACAUGCUCUGGUCUCCAUCUUCCUGGGACCAGGCCUUGAUGCUGUGGGUAAAAGUAGCAGCUACAUAUCAGACAGAUGUAUUCACACAUGGAGUAGAGCAGGUGGACGCAAGGCUGUGACAUGCUCUGGUCUCCAUCUUCCUGGGACCAGGCCUUGAUGCUGUGGGUAAAAGUAGCAGCUACAUAUCAGACAGAUGUAUUCACACAUGGAGUAGAGCAGGUGGACGCAAGGCUGUGCCAUGCUCUGGUCUCCGUCUUCCUGGGACCAGGCCUUGAUGCUGUGGGUAAAAGUAGCAGCUACAUAUCGGACAGAUGUAUUCACACAUGGAGUAGAGCAGGUGGACGCAAGGCUGUGCCAUGCUCUGGCCUCCAUCUUCCUGGGACCAGGCCUUGAUGCUGUGGGUAAAAGUAGCAGCUACAUAUCAGACAGAUGUAUUCACACAUGGAGUAGAGCAGGUGGACGCAAGGCUGUGACAUGCUCUGGUCUCCAUCUUCCUGGGACCAGGCCUUGAUGCUGUGGGUAAAAGUAGCAGCUACAUAUCGGACAGAUGUAUUCACACAUGGAGUAGAGCAGGUGGACGCAAGGCUGGGACAUGCUCUGGUCUCCAUCUUCCUGGGACCAGGCCUUGAUGCUGUGGGUAAAAGUAGCAGCUACAUAUCAGACAGAUGUAUUCACACAUGGAGUAGAGCAGGUGGACGCAAGGCUGGGACAUGCUCUGGUCUCCAUCUUCCUGGGACCAGGCCUUGAUGCUGUGGGUAAAAGUAGCAGCUACAUAUCGGACAGAUGUAUUCACACAUGGAGUAGAGCAGGUGGACGCAAGGCUGUGACAUGCUCUGGUCUCCAUCUUCCUGGGACCAGGCCUUGAUGCUGUGGGUAAAAGUAGCAGCUACAUAUCGGACAGAUGUAUUCACACAUGGAUUAGAGCAGGUGGACGCAAGGCUGUGACAUGCUCUGGUCUCCAUCUUCCUGGGACCAGGCCUUGAUGCUGUGGGUAAAAGUAGCAGCUACAUAUCGGACAGAUGUAUUCACACAUGGAGUAGAGCAGGUGGACGCAAGGCUGUGACAUGCUCUGGUCUCCAUCUUCCUGGGACCAGGCCUUGAUGCUGUGGGUAAAAGUAGCAGCUACAUAUCGGACAGAUGUAUUCACACAUGCAGUAGAGCAGGUGGACGCAAGGCUGUGACAUGCUCUGGUCUCCAUCUUCCUGGGACCAGGCCUUGAUGCUGUGGGUAAAAGUAGCAACUACAUAUCGGACAGAUGUAUUCACACAUGGAGUAGAGCAGGUGGACGCAAGGCUGUGACAUGCUCUGGUCUCCAUCUUCCUGGAACCAGGCCUUGAUGCUGUGGGUAAAAGUAGCAGCUACAUAUCAGACAGAUGUAUUCACACAUGGAGUAGAGCAGGUGGACGCAAGGCUGGGACAUGCUCUGGUCUCCAUCUUCCUGGGACCAGGCCUUGAUGCUGUGGGUAAAAGUAGCAGCUACAUAUCGGACAGAUGUAUUCACACAUGGAGUAGAGCAGGUGGACGCAAGGCUGUGCCAUGCUCUGGUCUCCAUCUUCCUGGGACCAGGCCUUGAUGCUGUGGGUAAAAGUAGCAGCUACAUAUCGGACAGAUGUAUUCACACAUGGAGUAGAGCAGGUGGACGCAAGGCUGUGCCAUGCUCUGGUCUCCAUCUUCCUGGGACCAGGCCUUGAUGCUGUGGGUAAAAGUAGCAGCUACAUAUCAGACAGAUGUAUUCACACAUGGAGUAGAGCAGGUGGACGCAAGGCUGUGACAUGCUCUGGUCUCCAUCUUCCUGGGACCAGGCCUUGAUGCUGUGGGUAAAAGUAGCAGCUACAUAUCAGACAGAUGUAUUCACACAUGGAGUAGAGCAGGUGGACGCAAGGCUGUGCCAUGCUCUGGUCUCCAUCUUCCUGGGACCAGGCCUUGAUGCUGUGGGUAAAAGUAGCAACUACAUAUCGGACAGAUGUAUUCACACAUGGAGUAGAGCAGGUGGACGCAAGGCUGUGACGUGCUCUGGUCUCCAUCUUCCUGGGACCAGGCCUUGAUGCUGUGGGUAAAAGUAGCAGCUACAUAUCGGACAGAUGUAUUCACACAUGGAGUAGAGCAGGUGGACGCAAGGCUGGGACAUGCUCUGGCCUCCAUCUUCCUGGGACCAGGCCUUGAUGCUGUGGGUAAAAGUAGCAGCUACAUAUCGGACAGAUGUAUUCACACAUGGAGUAGAGCAGGUGGACGCAAGGCUGUGCCAUGCUCUGGUCUCCAUCUUCCUGGGACCAGGCCUUGAUGCUGUGGGUAAAAGUAGCAGCUACAUAUCGGACAGAUGUAUUCACACAUGGAGUAGAGCAGGUGGACGCAAGGCUGGGACAUGCUCUGGUCUCCAUCUUCCUGGGACCAGGCCUUGAUGCUGUGGGUAAAAGUAGCAGCUACAUAUCGGACAGAUGUAUUCACUCAUGGAGUAGAGCAGGUGGACGCAAGGCUGUGACGUGCUCUGGUCUCCAUCUUCCUGGGACCAGGGGUUGAUGCUGUGGGUAAAAGUAGCAACUACAUAUCGGACAGAUGUAUUCACACAUGGAGUAGAGCAGGUGGAUGCAAGGCUGUGACGUGCUCUGGUCUCCAUCUUCCUGGGACCAGGCCUUGAUGCUGUGGGUAAAAGUAGCAACUACAUAUCGGACAGAUGUAUUCACACAUGGAGUAGAGCAGGUGGACGCAAGGCUGUGACGUGCUCUGGUCUCCAUCUUCCUGGGACCAGGCCUUGAUGCUGUGGGUAAAAGUAGCAACUACAUAUCAGACAGAUGUAUUCACACAUGGAGUAGAGCAGGUGGACGCAAGGCUGGGACAUGCUCUGGUCUCCAUCUUCCUGGGACCAGGCCUUGAUGCUGUGGGUAAAAGUAGCAACUACAUAUCGGACAGAUGUAUUCACACAUGGAGGAUGUGGUGUAUUCAAUCCUGUGAAGUAUUCUUGAUGCCUAGAUCACUAAUCCUAAGUAUAUACAAUGUUUAACUGAAUAACCCACAAAUAACCCUAUUCAUAGCAUCAUUGGAAAUAGUAAGGCUGUUUAUCAGCUUUAGAUACAGAGAAAUAUAUAUAUGUAUGCACGAUACGAACAAAGUGUCUUGCUGUGUUUGCGAUGGCAUUAGAUGAUGAGAGUUAAUGUUAAGCAUGUGGUACAUGCAACAACUACGAUGAAAGUUAUCUUCAUAUAUCAUGCUUGGCAUAAAUAUGGUGUUUAAUUUAUUUUUCUAUAUCUGUAAUAGAUAUAUGCUCUGAUAGGGCCUGAUCAUCUCAUUCCCUCCCCCACCAUGUAUACAGCAGCAUCGUCACCCACAGCAGCAUCGUCUCCCACAACACCAGGAACAUUUCACCUCACAGAGAUCGACUUGUUGAUCCUUGACAGAUAUCUCCCUUCCAUAUUGCAGUCUCAAUCUUACAUCACUGCUGUUAAUUGACAAACUAAUUUCUUAAUAGAUUUACAUGUGUAAUUAUUCCCAUUGAGCUGUGCUGUGUAGUACGGUUAAAGCUUACAGAGUAAUGUUCCUAUCUGCUUGUUUCAGGGCUGAUGAAGUAAUGCUGGAGAAAUUCAAGCAACUCUUUUGUUAUAAAUCAGCCCUAAAGAUGAAGUUGUUUAGCUGAUGUGCCAAGAAAUAUGUUGAUUUGCAUGUUGUCGAUUUGAAAUUCUAAUCGUUAAUUAGUUUCUAUUGUGUAUAAGCUCUAAGGACUGUUGAAUUUUUCUUUCUUCCCAUGAGAACAGUUUUGGAUUUAUUAGGUACAUUGGUUUAAUCCAAACAGGUUUAAAUACACUUUACUUUCUUUCUGGGUAGAAAGAUAUUCAUGAAUAUGAGUGAAGUCCAAGUUUCCAACGACAGAGGACUUGAAGAGCCAGUGUCGGGUUCCAUAUUCCUAUAUGAGACCAACGGUUAUAUUUUAUUAACUCACUUAAUAUAUCUGUAGUGGAAUAUAGUUACUUGUAUUAUAAACAUUCUUACAACAUUGGGUAAUGGGUUGCCGUACAUUUGAACUGAAAGAGGGGAGACACCAGGCCGCCUAGCUAUGUAUACUGUGGUCACUGGGAAUCUUUGCUGUCAAUGAGAAGAUUUUGGUAGGCGGUAAUCCGUCUCGUCCCCUUCUUCCAUUUUGAAACCAGUGAUCUGUCUCGGUUGUGUAAUAGCGUCGGUCUGCUGUUGGCAGCCAUGUUGAUUGGUAUGAUAAAACUGAUGUAGGACACUUCUUCUUUCUGACACACUACUAAUCUCUACAUCUGAUUGAUAUUAAUCCAGUCCAUUUCUUGUAAAAUAUAAUGAUAUUCAAAUAAACAUGAUGAAAACUGA
rnacentral:misc_RNA from 1 species